CCUACGGGAGACAGCAGUGAGGAAUAUUGGUCAAUGGGAGGAAUCCUGAACCAGCCAUGCCGCGUGCAGGACGACGGCUCUACGAGUUGUAAACUGCUUUUGUACCGGGGUAAAAUGCUCUACGAGUAGGGUUUUGAAAGUACGGUACGAAUAAGGAUCGGCUAACUCCGUGCCAGCAGCCGCGGUAAUACGGAGGAUCCGAGCGUUAUCCGGAUUUAUUGGGUUUAAAGGGUGCGUAGGCGGGCUUUUAAGUCAGCGGUAAAAAUUCGGGGCUCAACCCCGUCCGGCCGUUGAAACUGGGGGCCUUGAGUGGGCGAGAAGAAGGCGGAAUGCGUGGUGUAGCGGUGAAAUGCAUAGAUAUCACGCAGAACCCCGAUUGCGAAGGCAGCCUUCCGGCGCCCUACUGACGCUGAGGCACGAAAGUGCGGGGAUCGAACAGGAUUAGAUACCCUUGUAGUC
rnacentral:rRNA from 1 species